ensembl:lncRNA
CCAAGAAGUUGAUUGAGAUCACCAAGGACACUUGUACCAAGGGGAUGUUGAAAUAUCAAGUUCUUGAAGUCGCAAGAGAAAGAGAGCAGAGGGCUGCAAACCAUUGACUACAUUCCCUGGAAUUCUUCGACCUACAUUUCAGCCAAAUACUGUGCUUGAACAUUGUUCACAAAUUCAAAUACCUGCAGUGGGUCCAACUGGAGAGGGCUGGAGAGCUAGACGGCACAGUGCCCAACUACAGAAGAGGACAACCAUUACUCAACCACUUCCUGAGUUCCAGCUGAGGCCGGGCAGAAUUGAUGGCCUAUUAUGGGAAAGUCCUCUUAUUUUUGAAUAGAUGCUGAAAAUGCAUAUGUGACGUGGUGUGUGUGUGUGUGUGAACAUUCAUGUGUGUGUGUGCACGGGGAUGUGAGGGAGAGAGUGAGGGGACAGGAAAAGGAAAAUAAGAAGGAAGGGAGGGAGGAGGAGCUGGAGGAAGGAAGGGAGAACUGUAGAAUUUUAAUAUAAUUAAUAAAAAUUUGUGUUCAGGUCA